rnacentral:pre_miRNA from 9 species
UCUCGACAGCGUAAAAGUUAAUUCGAAUUUGCAUGAAUUUGGAAUGUUUGCCUACGUUUGCCGCUAGGGGCGCUGUUCCAACUGUACACAAAAAUUCGUUAACUUUUACGCUAUCGA